rnacentral:rRNA from 1 species
UACGUAGGGGGCAAGCGUUGUCCGGAAUCAUUGGGCGUAAAGAGCGUGUAGGCGGCCAGAUAAGUCCGCUGUGAAAACUCGAGGCUCAACUUCGAGCUGUCGGCGGAAACUAUCUGGCUAGAGUCCGGAAGAGGAGAGUGGAAUUCCUGGCGUAGCGGUGAAAUGCGCAGAUAUCAGGAAGAACACCCGUGGCGAAGGCGGCUCUCUGGGACGGUACUGACGCUGAGACGCGAAAGCGUGGGGAGCGAACAGG